GAGGGAAGAGCCCAAGAUUGAAAGCUGGCGUCUUCGGCGUCCGCAUUGUAAUCUCAAGAAGUGUUUUCCGCUUCGGACCAAGCCUAAGUCCCCUGGAAAGGGGCAUCAUAGAGGGUGAUAAUCCCGUACAUGGCUUGGAGCGCCCGAGGCUUUGUGAUACGCUUUCUAAGAGUCGAGUUGUUUGGGAAUGCAGCUCAAAAUGGGUGGUAAAUGCCAUCUAAGGCUAAAUAUUGGGGAGAGACCGAUAGCGAACAAGUACAGUGAUGGAAAGAUGAAAAGAACUUUGAAAAGAGAGUUAAACAGUACGUGAAAUUGCCAAAAGGGAAGGGUAGGAGGUCAGAGAUGCGGCCUGGGAUUCAGCCUUGCUUUUGCUUGGUGUUUUUCCCAGAUUGCAGGCCAACGUCGGUUUUGGGCACUGGAGAAGGGUAGGAGGAACGUGGCACCCCUCGGGGUGUGUUAUAGCCUCCUACUGGAUACAGCGACCGAGACCGAGGACAGCAGCGUACUCGCAAGAGCGGGCCUUCGGGCACCUUUACGCUUAGGGCGUUGGCAUAAUGGCCCUCUACCACCCGUCUUG
rnacentral:rRNA from 1 species